AUCUUGUGUGGUGGUGGUGGCAGCCUCACUGUCAAUCCACUACAGUACCUGAUGCAGCCCCGACCCUCACAG
rnacentral:miRNA from 1 species